AUAUCAAUAAGCGGAGGAAAAGAAACUAACAAGGAUUCCCCUAGUAACUGCGAGUGAAGCGGGAAAAGCCCAAAUUUAAAAUCUGUCGGCCUUGGGUCGUCCGAGUUGUAAUCUGGAGAAGUGUUACCCGCGCCGGACCGUGUACAAGUCCCUUGGAAGAGGGCAUCUUAGAGGGUGAAAAUCCCGUCUACGACAUGGAUCCCCGGUGCUUUGUGGUGCGCUCUCGAUGAGUCGAGUUGUUUGGGAAUGCAGCUCUAAAUGGGUGGUAAACUCCAUCUAAGGCUAAAUAUAGGCGAGAGACCGAUAGCGAACAAGUACCGUGAGGGAAAGAUGAAAAGAACUUUGGAAAGAGAGUUAAACAGUACGUGAAAUUGCUGAAAGGGAAACGAUUGAAGUCAGUCGCGUUGUCCGGGAUUCAGCCUUGCCUCGGCGUGGUUUACUUCCCGGUUAACGGGUCAGCAUCGAUUUUGGCCGCCGGAAAAGGGCGGAGGGAAUGUGGCACCCUCGGGUGUGUUAUAGCCCUCUGUCGGAUUACGGCGGCUGGGAUCGAGGAUCGCAGCGCAGCUCCUUCGGGGGUGCGGGUUCGCCCAGCUUAUGCGCUUAGGAUGCUGGCAUAAUGGCUUUAAACGACCCGUCUUGAAACACGGACCAAGGAGUCUAACAUGCCUG
rnacentral:rRNA from 1 species